rnacentral:rRNA from 1 species
UACGUAGGUGGCGAGCGUUGUUCGGAAUUAUUGGGCGUAAAGGGUGCGUAGGCGGUGCGGUAAGUCUUCUGUGAAAUCUCCGGGCUCAACUCGGAGCCUGCAGGAGAAACUGCCGUGCUUGAGUAUGGGAGAGGUGAGUGGAAUUCCUGGUGUAGCGGUGAAAUGCGUAGAUAUCAGGAGGAACACCUGUGGCGAAAGCGGCUCACUGGACCAUAACUGACGCUGAGGCACGAAAGCUAGGGGAGCAAACAUG